rnacentral:rRNA from 1 species
GAAUGCUUCAACUGAAUCAGUUAAAACUUUCAACAACGGAUCUCUUGGUUCUGGCAUCGAUGAAGAACGCAGCGAAAUGCGAUAAGUAAUGUGAAUUGCAGAAUUCAGUGAAUCAUCGAAUCUUUGAACGCACAUUGCGCCCAUUAGUAUUCUAGUGGGCAUGCCUAUUCGAGCGUCAUUUCAACCCUUAAGCCUCCGUUGCUUAGCGUUGGGAAUCUGCCCUGUAUUUGUAGGGCAGUUCCUGAAAGUGAUUGGCGGAGUUAGGGCAUACUCUAAGCGUAGUACUAUUUUUCUCGCUUCUGUAGUUGUCCUGGCGGCUUGCCGUUAAACCCCUAUAUUUCUAGUGGUUGACCUCGGAU